rnacentral:rRNA from 1 species
CACGUAGGGCGCAAGCGUUGUCCGGAAUUAUUGGGCGUAAAGAGCUCGUAGGCGGUCUGUUGCGUCCGCUGUGAAAACUCGGGGCUUAACCCCGAGCCUGCAGUGGAUACGGGCAGACUAGAGGUAGGUAGGGGAGAAUGGAAUUCCCGGUGUAGCGGUGAAAUGCGUAGAGAUCCGGAGGAACACCGAAGGCGAAGGCAGUGUCCUGGCUGGUGACUGACGCUGAGGUGCGAAAGCUAGGGGAGCGAACGGG